ACCACAAACCACCCAAGCAAAACAUACCUUCUUAAAAAGCAGCAUAAACCAGCUCAGUUCUUGCAAGUCUUCUGCUCAGAGAAUCAUUUGUAUC